rnacentral:rRNA from 1 species
CGCGAUUGGAUGAACCUAGGUGGGAUUAGCUAGUUGGUGAGGUAAUGGCUCACCAAGGCGACGAUCCCUAGCUGUUCUGAGAGGAUGAUCAGCCACACUGGGACUGAGACACGGCCCAGACUCCUACGGGAGGCAGCAGUGGGGAAUAUUGCACAAUGGGGGAUACCCUGAUGCAGCCAUGCCGCGUGUGUGGAGAAGGCCUUCGGGUUGUAAAGCACUUUCAGUAGGGAGGAAAGGGUGAGUCUUAAUACGGCUCAUCUGUGACGUUACCUACAGAAGAAGGACCGGCUAACUCCGUGCCAGCAGCCGCGGUAAUACGGAGGGUCCGAGCGUUAAUCGGAAUUACUGGGCGUAAAGCGUGCGCAGGCGGUUUGUUAAGCGAGAUGUGAAAGCCCUGGGCUCAACCUAGGAAUAGCAUUUCGAACUGGCGAACUAGAGUCUUGUAGAGGGGGGUAGAAUUCCAGGUGUAGCGGUGAAAUGCGUAGAGAUCUGGAGGAAUACCGGUGGCGAAGGCGGCCCCCUGGACAAAGACUGACGCUCAUACACGAAAGCGUGGGGAGCAAACAGGAUUGGAUACCCUGGUAGUCCACGCCGUAAACGAUGUCUACUCGGAGUUUGGUGCCUU